GAGUUUGAUCUUGGCUCAGAUUGAACGCUGGCGGCAGGCCUAACACAUGCAAGUCGAGCGGAUGACGGGAGCUUGCUCCUUGAUUCAGCGGCGGACGGGUGAGUAAUGCCUAGGAAUCUGCCUGGUAGUGGGGGACAACGUUUCGAAAGGAACGCUAAUGCCGCAUACGUCCUACGGGAGAAAGCAGGGGACCUUCGGGCCUUGCGCUAUCAGAUGAGCCUAGGUCGGAUUAGCUAGUUGGUGGGGUAAUGGCUCACCAAGGCGACGAUCCGUAACUGGUCUGAGAGGAUGAUCAGUCACACUAGAACUGAGACACGGUCCAGACUCCUACGGGAGGCAGCAGUGGGGAAUAUUGGACAAUGGGCGAAAGCCUGAUCCAGCCAUGCCGCGUGUGUGAAGAAGGGUCUUCGGAUUGUAAAGCACUUUAAGUUGGGAGAAGGGCAGUAAGUUAAUACCUUGCUGUUUUGACGUUACCGACAGAAUAAGCACCGGCUAACUCUGUGCCAGCACG
rnacentral:rRNA from 1 species